rnacentral:lncRNA from 1 species
GGCACCUCCGGGUGUGGAAGGCUCCAGUGAGAUGGAGUCGCGAGUCGCGGACGCUGGGACCGGCGAGACCGCGCGAGCAGCGGGCGGGAGUCCGGCAGUUGGCUGCACCACUCGGGGGCCCGUAGUCUCGGCGCCCCUGGGAGCCGCCCGGUGGAAGCUCCUGCGGCAGGUUCUGAAGCAAAAACACCUGGAUGAUUGCCUGCGACAUGUAUCUGUAAGAAGAUUUGAAUCAUUUAAUCUGUUUUCAGUAACAGAAGGCAAAGAAAGGGAAACUGAAGAGGAGGUUGGUGCAUGGGUCCAAUAUACAAGCAUCUUCUGUCCUGAAUACAGUAUCUCCUUAAGGCAUAAUAGUGGAUCCUUGAAUGUUGAAGAUGUCCUUACCAGCUUUGACAAUACAGGAAAUGUUUACACAGGGUCUCACUCUGUUGCCCAGGCUGGAGUGCAGUGGUGAUCAUAACUCAGUGCAGCCUCAAACUCCUGAACUGCUCAUAUAUUUAAGAAACACUUCGUGGCAGAAGAUUAUGAUACUCUUGCUUAUUUAUUGGCUUAAGGAUUAAGGAUCCCCAAAGUCUCAGACUUCAUUCUGGAGGCUAGAAGUCCAAAGUCAAGGUGUAGAGCCAUGCUCCAUCUGAAACCCCUAGGGGAGUCCGUCACUGCCUCCUUGUAGCUUCUGCUGUCAAUCUUUGGCGUCCCUGGGCUUGCAGCUGCAUCACUCCAGUCUCCACCUUUGUCGUCACCUGGUGCUCUCCCUGGGUGUCUCUCUGUCUUCACGUGGCCGGUCAUAUUGGACGAGGGGCCCACUGUACUCCAGUGUCACCUCAUCUUAACCUAACUAACAAUAUCUGCAGUGACCCUGUUUCCAAAUAAGGUCAUAUUUUGAGGUAUUGUGGGUUAGGUGGAGGGAAGGAGAUCAAUCCAUAAUAUCAUUGCUUUGUGCUUAGUAUAUAAAUAAGAAAUGCUCUAUUUCCAAGUGACGUUUCUUUAUACCUAGGAUUAGUAAUGAACUUUUAAAAGCCUUAUUUUUAUUCCUAGUUUGAGAAACAAUUACUUUAACUACAAAAUUGUGGCAAUAUGAAAGAUUACUUGAUAAACCAUUUUCAAAUAACUGGUUACAAAUUUAGAAGAAAGUUUAAAAAUCC